UACCUGGUGGUCCAAUGGGUGAGGACUUGGCAUUUUGACUGCUAAGGGUCCAGGUUCAAUCCCUGGUUGGGGAA
rnacentral:tRNA from 1 species